rnacentral:rRNA from 1 species
UUCAGAUUGUAAGGAAUCGUACCCCAAACCGACACAGGUGGUCGGGUAGAGAAUACCAAGGCGCUUGAGAGAACUCGGGUGAAGGAACUAGGCAAAAUGGUACCGUAACUUCGGGAGAAGGUACGCUCUUGAUGGUGAAGUCCCUCGCGGAUGGAGCUGACGAGAGUCGCAGAUACCAGGUGGCUGCAACUGUUUAUUAAAAACAC